CCUACGGGUGGCAGCAGUGGGGAAUUUUGGACAAUGGGGGCAACCCUGAUCCAGCAACGCCGCGUGUGUGAAGAAGGCCUUCGGGUUGUAGAGCACUUUUGUCCGGAAAGAAAUCGCGCUGGUUAAUACCUGGCGUGGAUGACGGUACCGGAAGAAUAAGCACCGGCUAACUACGUGCCAGCAGCCGCGGUAAUACGUAGGGUGCGAGCGUUAAUCGGAAUUACUGGGCGUAAAGCGUGCGCAGGCGGUUUUGUAAGACAGGCGUGAAAUCCCCGGGCUUAACCUGGGAAUUGCGCUUGUGACUGCAAGGCUAGAGUGCGUCAGAGGGGGGUAGAAUUCCACGUGUAGCAGUGAAAUGCGUAGAGAUCUGGAGGAAUACCGGAGGCGAAGGCGGCCCCCUGGACAAAGACUGACGCUCAGGUGCGAAAGCGUGGGGAGCAAACAGGAUUAGAUACCCCUGUAGUC
rnacentral:rRNA from 1 species